rnacentral:rRNA from 1 species
UACGAAGGGGGCAAGCGUUGUUCGGAAUUACUGGGCGUAAAGGGCGCGUAGGCGGCUUAUCAAGUCAGGCGUGAAAUUCCCGGGCUCAACCUGGGGGCUGCGCUUGAUACUGAUGAGCUUGAAUGCGGGAGAGGAUAGUGGAAUUCCCAGUGUAGAGGUGAAAUUCGUAGAUAUUGGGAAGAACACCGGUGGCGAAGGCGGUCUGCUGGGCUGUGGCUGACGCUGAUGCGCGACAGCGUGGGGAGCAAACAGG